ACGAAAUGGGCAAAAAAAAAAGCCCCAAAAUGGUCACGGUAUGUGACGUCACAUGCCAAAAAAACGUGCCACGUGCUUUAAAAGCCACAGGUGUACGGCGUUAUUCCAAAUGGAGACUGAGACGGAGACGGAGACGGAAGGAUUCACCGUGAUUUCUGCACACGGAGACCAGGUCGGAGUUGUCGGGCAUCGAAGUGAGAGAAGAUUGAUCAACACGAAGAUCUUCAACAUAGUAAGGAACGUCGUUUUUCUUAUUUUCCUGUGCGACCGCCGUGUCGCUGUUGUGCUAGGCCGCUGAAGCCUAUGUCUGCUUGAGUGUGUGAUUGAGUCUCUGUGUGAGUGAAACGUAGUAGUAGUAGUAGUAGUAGCAGCAGCAGCAGCAGCAGCAAAUGUCUUACAGUCUUUUUUGUCUUGUUGGUUUCCUCUCUGUUUUUUCAGAAUCUUUAGUUUAGAGGCAGUGGAGUCUGGGUUUUGGAGCAGGAGCCAUUAGCAGGAGGAUGGUUAGCCAGUCAGUGAAGUCUUACAGGUAGGUGGCUCUCUGCUCGAGUUUGUUGAAACUCUGGUCCCUAUUUAAUGGUGUGGAUGUGAAACUGCUGAGCUAACUAGUUAAAUGUUGCCUCUGCUUUCUGACCAUGGUGGUUCAGUGUUUGUAGUUAAUAGAAUGAGUGAUGUGGUUUAAGCUCAGCAGUUUCUAGUAAGUACGGGUGAAUGACAUUCUGUCUCAAUACAUGUGAGUAACACAUUUUGCCUUGUAGGGCCUGUCGACAAAGGGUGAGUCCAAAACUUCUGUUUAAUUC